ensembl:lncRNA
GCUGGGAAUCACCAGAAAAUCCCGCCGGGAAUGUGGGAAUUGUGGGAUUGGAGCGGCCCCUCCCCCCCCGUUGGAUUGGAAGGACGAACCCCCCAAAUCCGGAGGGAAAAUCCCAAAUCCGGAGGGAAAAUCCCAAAUCCGUGGGAAGAGCGACGGCGGAGCCGCUCCCGGGGCGGGAACGCCCGGAAUGAGGCGCUGGAGCCCCCAAGACUCAACAAGGCAACUCAACGUCAACCCAACGGCAACUCAACGUCAACCCAACGGUAACUCAACGGCAACUCAACUUCAACCCAACGGUAACUCAACGUCAACCCAACGUCAACUCAACGCCAACCCAACGUCAACCCAACGGUAACUCAACGGCAACUCAACUUCAACCCAAAGUCAACUCAAUGUCAACUUAACGGCAACUCAACGUCAACUCAAUGCCAAUUCAACAGCAACUCAACUUCAAUCUCAAUUUCAACUCAACAGCAACUCAAUGUCAACUCAACAUCAACCCAAUGUCAACCCAACAUCAACUCAACAUCAACUCAACGUCAACCCAAUGUUAACGGCAACUCAACGGCAACUCAACGUCAAUUCAAUCUCAUCUCAACCUCAACUCAACAUCAACCCAACGUCAACCUCAAACUCAACUCAAUGUCAAUGUCAACCCAACUCAAUGUCAACUCAAGCUCAACCCAACUUCGACCUCAAUGUCAACUCAACGUCAACGGCAACUCAACCCCAACUCAACUGCAACUCAACUCAACGUCACCUCGACGGUAACGUCGAUGUCAACCCAACUCAACCUCAACCUCAACUCAACAUCAACGUCAAGCCAACAUCGAUGUCAACUCAACUCAAUCUCAACUCAACACCAACUCAAUUCAAUCUCAACUCAACGGCAACGUUGAUGUCAACCCAACUCAACCUCAACUUCAACUCAGUGUCAAUGUCGACCCAACAUCGAUGUCAACCCAACUCAACAGCAACUCAACUCAACCUCAACUCAACGGCAAUGUCAAUGUCAACCCAACUCAACCUCAAUCUCAACUCAAUGGCAACUCAAUGUCAACUCAACGGCAACAUCGGCGUCAAACUUAACCUCAAUCUUAACUCAAUGUCAACGUCGACCCAUCUCAACCUCAAGGUCAACUCAACCCAACUUCAAUCUCAACCUCAACACAACAGCGACCCAACCUCAAUGGCAACUCAACCUCAAAGUCAAUGUCAACCCCAAGUCAACGUCAAACAACCCAACUCAACCUCAAAGUCAACGUCAACCCAACCCAACUCGACCCCAACCCAACUCAACCUCAACCCAACCUCAACCCCAACUCAACCUCAAACAACCCAACUCAACCUCAACAUCAACCCAACUGCAAGCUCAAGGUCAACCUCAAACUCAACCUCAACCCAACCCCAACUCAACCUCAACCCAACCUCAACUUCGACCUCAACUCAACCUCAACUCGAUGUCAACAUCAACCCCAACCUCAAAGUCAACCCCAAACUCCACCUCAACUCAAACUCAACCCCAACCCCAAUUUCAACCUCGACAUCAACUCAACCUCAACCCCAAACGCAAC